AGCAGCCGUCCCUCCCAUCGCGCACGGCAGGGAGGAGACACACCCGGCUGGGGUUUCAGAGUAGCAGCCGUGUUAGUCUGUAUCCACAAAAAGAACAGGAGUACUUGUGGCACCUUCAAUCCUUCAUCUUCAAUCCUGCUUCAUACCUCUGGAGGAACUUUGCUACAAACUGAAGCUCUGAACAAAGGACUGAGGACCCAUCUCAGCGGGGGAUGUACUCCAGAGACUUGAUUUGAACCUGCAGUUUAUUCCAUCGCUGCUGCAAGCCUGAACCAAGAACUUUGCCAUUACUGUGCUUCUCAAGAUACGGAGGGAAGAAGCUUCGGUGGUAUUGAUAGCUCCAGCCUGGCCCCGCCAACACUGGUACACGUCUCUCCUGGAAAUGUCCAUGGACGCCCCAAUCACCUUGCCACUCUUCCCGGACUUGAUUACUCAGGAUCACAGCCCUCUCCAACACCCAAACCUCAAAUUGUUGCACCUCAUGGCGUGGAAGCUCCAUUGCUGAACCUGAUGGAGUUCUCCUGCUCAGACCGGUUAGACAAAUCCUCGUUGGCCGUAGGAAACCUUCCACCAGGGUUACCUACCUGACCAAAUGGAAGAGAUUUUCAAUUUGGUCGGUGCAACACUGUCCAUCUCCGAUGCUUGCCUCCAUACCACUUAUACUGGACUACCUUCUCCAUCUUAAGCAGCAGGAGUUGUCCAUGUCGUCAGUAAAGGUUCACUUGGCCGCCAUUUCGGCCUUCCAUCCAGGCGCAGAGGGCCAGUUGGUCUUUACCAACCCUGUGGUCAGCCGUUUCCUGAAAGGUCUUGACAGGCUAUACCCACACGUCCGACAACCGGUCCCAGCCUGGGACCUCAAUCUGGUUGUGACGUUGCACUCUAUAUGAUUUUAUGAAAAUAUGCUAAUGAGUGUGACUAUAAAGUAACUGGAAUAUGCUGCAUGCAAAAGGUCUCUUGUAAGGUAUAAUUACAAAGCUUAUAAUCUACUGGGUGUGGUCAUCCUAUUUGUAUGUAUGUAUCAUUCUUGUAUAUGAAACUAGAAAUAUGAAAUAUAACUCUGAGGGUCUAUUGUAAUUAUGCAAAGUGAGGGCCAUUAAUGGUGGUUUGGAAUCUUGAUGGCUCCCAUUAACCAGGACAAUUAACUGUGGAUGGCUCUGUUUGCUUGCAGGCCUUCCUGUAAAUCAGGCAGGGAGGAAUGAAGGCUUAGGGUCUCACAGGACGUGUGACCAUGUCACCUGGUACUGGAAUCCAUCUUAAACCUGGUGCUUUUCCAUUUAGAAGGAGGGGUGGAGACCAGAGAGACAAAAGAUUCCCGCCUUGUGCCAAAGCUAUAUAAGGGGGUGGAACAGAACAAAGGGGAUUGCAAUCAUGAGAAAUCCCCUAGCUAUCACCUGAGCUGGAACAAGGGCUGUACCAGGGGAAAGGAUUGUGCCCAGAGUAGGAAGGUGUCCAGUCUGUGAAAGAAACUUAUUGAAACAGCUCUGAGGGUGAGAUUUUAUCUGUAUUCGGUUUUAUUACUGUACUAGGCUUAGACUUGCGUGUUUUAUUUUAUUUUGCUUGGUAAUUCACUUUGUUCUGUCUGUUAUUACUUGGAACCACUUAAAUCCUACUUUUUUAUUUAAUAAAAUCCUUUUAACUUAUUAA